UUGGAGAUGACAGGAAAGGAGGGCGUGGCUUCCGGCGUUUGGCGGGGCCUUUGUCUCUCGCUGGCGCUGGCACAGGAGCUUGGGAUCCGUCUUCUCUUUCGCCUCCUCCACCUUGGGAGCCCCGGGCUAUUCUCUCCCAGCCCCUGUUGCCCCGUGAUCUGUAGGUCCUUGGGGACGCAUAGUUAAGGUGCCAGGACAUCCUGGAAGCUGGGAAAUGUUAGCAUUUCAUCGUAUCAAUGUGAAGAUUUCUUCUGGACCAUGGCUGGAGAAGGAAAGAAGGUGUGUUUUGCCUGAUUCAGGGACUACAGAGAGAACCAAGUUCUGCAGGCCUGUCACCUAAGUCUCAGAUUGUUGCAGUGUCAGGACCAAGGUCAAAUGAAUUAUAUCCAAGUCUACAGUAAGAUGUGGCUGUAUUCUCUUUUGAAGCCAAGACCAUGAUUGGCAAGCUUGCCACUUGGUCAAAUGCUCACCCUCUGAAGAUGUCUUCCUUGGUCUUUGCCUCCAGCUGGGUGUCACAAACUGAACUGGAUUCCAAGGCUUUCAUGAAUGCACUUAUGUUUGCUGUGGCAGCUGCAUUAUGUUGUGGGGGAUGUGCAUGCGGAACCUCCCAUUCUGUCUUCUUGCUUAUGUUACUCUCCUUUAUGUUUCACUUUCUGAAAUGAAUGUCAAGCUGGUGAUUUUCAGAUUAAGAAAUUCUAAACUAAAUUGCUCAAAUUUACACUUUAUGUAAGCUGUCAAUAAAAUUUCUUGUAGGUGCUACAUAUUUAUUAAAAUUUUUGGUUGUAAUUUUAAGCUCACUUCAGGCAGAAAAGAAUCAUUAACAUUUCUAUUCUUUUUUUUAGUCUGUAUCUAAAUGAUGGUAUAUUUUAAUUCCAAAUAUUUACUUUAUACUUCAGUAAUGCUCAUUGUGUUUUGCAAAAUUUAUGUUGUUCUUUUAUUUGAAAAUAGAAGGCUUUUUUAGCUCCUGAAAGCUAUAUUAUAGUCAUAUAGUUUUAUUAUAUUAUGUGGUAAGAAUAGCAGCAACAUAUUGAGAACAUAAUAAAAUUCUCCUGUCUUUUUAAUGAUUAUUUAUUAAAUUCUUCCCAUUAGAGCCUAUUAUUAAUGAUUGUAAUGUAUUUUCUGUAUAAUUUUACUGCAAUUUAUUAAAUGCCAAUGACUUAAAAUGUCUGCUGUUCAUGAGUGCACACACUUGAAAGCUGUAGAUAUCUAAAGAGUUAUUUUUCGGCCCGGCACGGUGGCUCACGCCUGUAAUCCUACCACUUUGGGAGGCCAAGGCGGGUGGAUCACGAGCUCAGGAGAUCAAGAUCAUCCUGGCUAACACGGUGAAACCCCGUCUCUACUAAAUAUACAAAAAAUUAGCCGGGCGUAGUGGCGGGUGCCUGUAUUCCCAGCUACUCGGGAGGCUGAGGCAGGAGAAUGGCGUGAACCCAGUGGGCGGAGCUUGCAGUGAGCUGAGAUCGCACCACUGCACUCCAGCCUGGGCGGCAGGGCGAGACUCCGUCUUAAUAAAAUGAAAGGAGUUAUUUUUCAUUGUAUGUCUAUGUUGUAUUCAGGAUUUUAUGCAUUAAAAUCUCUUCUUAUUUUCAA